rnacentral:rRNA from 1 species
GGGGAAUAUUGGACAAUGGGCGAAAGCCUGAUCCAGCAACGCCGCGUGAGGGAUGACGGCCUUCGGGUUGUAAACCUCUUUCACCCAUGACGAAGCGAAAGUGACGGUAGUGGGAGAAGAAGGACCGGCCAACUACGUGCCAGCAGCCGCGGUAAUACGUAGGGUCCGAGCGUUGUCCGGAAUUAUUGGGCGUAAAGGGCUCGUAGGCGGUUUGUCACGUCGGGAGUGAAAACUCAGGGCUUAACUCUGAGCUUGCUUUCGAUACGGGCAGACUAGAGGUAUGCAGGGGAGAAUGGAAUUCCUGGUGUAGCGGUGAAAUGCGCAGAUAUCAGGAGGAACACCAGUGGCGAAGGCGGUUCUCUGGGCAUUACCUGACGCUGAGGAGCGAAAGUGUGGGGAGCGAAC